rnacentral:rRNA from 1 species
GGACUACCGGGGUUUCUAAUCCCGUUCGAUUCCCACGCUUUCGUGUUUCAGCGUCAGGAGCGCGCCAGUACAGUGCCUUCGCAUUUGGUGUUCCCCAAGAUAUCAACGGAUUUCACCCCUACACCUUGAGUUCCCUGUACCUCUCGCGUCCUCGAGCAUUGCCGUUUCCUCCGCGGUUCCCUAGUUAAGCCAGAGACCUUUCACGAAAGACUAACAACGCCGCCUACACACCCUUUACGCCCAGUGAUUCCGGAUAAUGCUCGGGGCCUCUGUAUUACCGCGGCUGCUGGCAC